rnacentral:rRNA from 1 species
CGCGGCCUAUCAGCUUGUUGGUGAGGUAAUGGCUCACCAAGGCGACGACGGGUAGUCGGCCUGAGAGGGCGACCGGCCACACUGGGACUGAGACACGGCCCAGACUCCUACGGGAGGCAGCAGUGGGGAAUAUUGCACAAUGGGCGAAAGCCUGAUGCAGCGACGCCGCGUGAGGGAUGACGGCCUUCGGGUUGUAAACCUCUUUCAGCAGGGAAGAAGCGAAAGUGACGGUACCUGCAGAAGAAGCGCCGGCUAACUACGUGCCAGCAGCCGCGGUAAUACGUAGGGCGCAAGCGUUGUCCGGAAUUAUUGGGCGUAAAGAGCUCGUAGGUGGUUCGUCGCGUCUGCUGUGAAAGUCCGAGGCUUAACCUCGGAUCUGCAGUGGGUACGGGCGGACUAGAGUGCGGUAGAGGAGAUCGGAAUUCCUGGUGUAGCGGUGGAAUGCGCAGAUAUCAGGAGGAACACCGGUGGCGAAGGCGGAUCUCUGGGCCGUAACUGACGCUGAGGAGCGAAAGCAUGGGGAGCGAACAGGCUUAGAUACCCUGGUAGUCCAUGCCGUAAACGUUGGGCGCUAGGUGUGGGGUCCUAUCCACGGAUUCCGUGCCGCAGCUAACGCAUUAAGCGCCCCGCCUGGGGAGUACGG